CCUGUCUUGUCUCCAUUCUUCAUGCCUCUUGCCCCUGCCCAUUCUCACCCCCUCCUCCAGGUAUCCCUGUUGACUGACCCGUGGGCAAGGUCACGUGGUGCCCGCAUAGGGACCUGGAUAUGAGGGAAAAUGGUGAAGAAGCUACUGGAGCUGGAAACACGGGGACCUGACCGCGUAGUAGCCUGCUGUGUUGGAACGAGGAUCUCGGUAACUAUGAGCACCUGGAUGUGGCUACUGCUGGGGAUCUCUCUCCUGAUACAAAAAAAUGAAGGUGGUUUCGAGACAGAGUCUCACUGUACCGCCCUCGGGUAGAGUGCCGUGGCAUCACACGACUCACAGCAACCUCUAACUCUUGGGCCUACGCGAUUCUCUUGCCUCAGCCUCCUGAGCAGCUGAAGUACAUAUAUUUUCUAACCCAUUUCUUGAAAGUCUAUUUCUGAAUACCAUCACAUUGGGAAUUGGGACUUCAAUAUAUGUAUUUUGGAGAGAUGUAAAUAUUUGCUCCACGAUGGUGCAGUCAGCAGGAUUCCUGGGACACGGACUGAAGGGGAAAAAAGGACACUCAGAAGUAAGUGAAGCCUUCAGUAGACAGUGGGAGGAAGUCCCAAAGGGAAACUCCACUCAGAGCAAGUGGGCCAAUCCAGAAUCAAACCUCGCAGAAUAAGUGAGGCCUUUGGUAAAUAAUAAGCAAAGAUAUUUAGGGAAAACAAUGGGUAACUUCCUCUUAGGGGAGACUCAAGAAUUAGAAACUGAGGAAGAAGGUGAUGUUCAAGCAGAAUUUGAAAUUGAGGAGAAUAGUGAAGUUCAGUGGGAACCUGAACCUGAGGAGAAUUGGGAACCAGGAGCAUAGGAAGGUUUUUCUGGCCCUUUCUCAGGGGAGGAAGUAUGUGAUACAGACAUGAAUAAGCAAGAAAAUACCCCAAUGACCAUUAUGGCAGCUCAGAUCAAACAGUUGGACAACCCGUUGAACAGUCUCACAGUUAGAAAUGCUAACAUAGAUCACCCAACAUUGCCCUCAGGGCCUCCCUAUGUAGAUGAUCCACCUGUGAAUUCUGUUAUGAAGGCUUUAGUAGAGGGGUGUAAGACUGGUGACUUUAAUUGUGAAGAUACUUUGGGGCUUUCUCCAGUCACAGUUACUGAUAUUCCUCCUGAACUGCAGUACCCUCAAGGGGGCCAAUGUUUUGAUCACCAUAUGAUCACUUUUAUGGUUCUGAAAGAUUUAAAACAAGCUGUAACACAGUAUUUCAUGCAGUCCCUGUUUUCUAGAGGUCUGUUACAAGGACUUGCACAAGAGUAGUGACUUAUUCCUUAUGACUGGGACAUGAUAACCAUAACUGUUUCUGAAUCUGGACAGUAUUUACAGUUUAAAACUUGGUGGAAGGAGGAGGCUGACUGGAUGAGUCACCAAAACCAGCAGAGUGGAAUUCCUAUAACAUCGAUACAGCUCACAGUGGCUGGGGGUUCCAAGUCAACUUCAGUAUGAUGAUACAGCUAUAGUGCAGACAAGGCUGUGCAGGCUUCAAGCCUGUGAAAAGGUUCAGGCUCCUGGAGAUAUCUCUAAAUCUUUCAUUAAGAUAAUGCAAUUGGGAAAUGAACCUUAUAUCAACUUUUUAGCUUGAUUAAAAACUGCAGUCAAUAAAGCUGUUGCCCAGCCAGAGCUCCAAGACAUGCUUUUCCAAACUUUAGCAUUUGAGAAUGCUGACUCUCUGAGUGUUGAAAGGCUUUACAACUUCUGAGAGCACAAAAUGCUCCCUUAGAAGAAUAAAUAUGGGCAUGUGCUGAUAUAGGAAUGGAAUCUUACAAGGCUAAUCUGCUUGUUGUUGCUUUAAAAGAAGGGUUCAAUCCAAACCAUGUUAAAUGCCAUAGUGUGGAAAGUUGGGCCAUAUGUGUCCAAAUGGAAACCUGGUUAUGUGCUACAUUGGGGUCGAGGUUUUGUUCAUGUCAUUACAGAACAACAAGAGAAACAGUGGCUACCGUCCCUCUGGAUUCAGCCUCGACGCGAGCAAGAAACCUUGCCAGCACUUUAAGGUGUCUGCCUUCACUAACUUUUUCUAUUGAUGUACCAAGGACCCUAAUUUCUUAGGCCUGGGUAAUUUCAUAAUAAAUAAACCCUGGAUCAACCUCCCCUAACUGCCUCCCCCAUAUCACCGUCCAUCAUCAGCAGGAAGUGGUUAGGAGCAGUCAGCGUCCUUUUUCCCUAAUUAGCAGUCAGAGCUCCUAUUAGGAGAGGGAGGAUUGAUACAGGGUUCCAUCAUUCUGGGCUGUAUAGGAAGCCCCAGGUAAGCUCAGAACCCGUCCUCUGGACUCUAUUGAAGUCAUGAACAACAAAGACCUCAAAUAACAGACUUUUUGUUCCUGGUUACAGUUAUACUGGUAUUGGCAAAGGUGAGAGAAUUUUACUUGUUGGGCUUAUAUCUGUUUCAGUUGGGCACCUGAUCUUUACCUUCCACCCAUUCCCAUUUUAAAAUCACACUGCUCCCCCAGACUUCAGCUUAGAAAGGGUCUGAGUUCAUCGGUACAGCCCUUUCCCCCCUAACAUUCUAUGCUUGUUGUUGUUGUUAACUUCAGGUGUUGGUUAAUACUUCCUAUGGAAGCAUCACUGACCCUACAGGUCGGCCCCAAGUGCGUAGUUGGGUGGUGAUUAGCACAAAGAGGGCGUUUCUCCCCUUAUGCCUAGUCUGGCUAGAGUAACACAAUCACAAAAACUGGAAUUCUUUCACAACCUGGGUUAGUUCUGCUGGUGUGAUUUUGUUAACUCAUGUGCCCUUUUGUUUCUUUGCUUAGCAGGAAGAAAAGCUCCUUAGCGAGGAGAAUGGCUGAAAUAAUCAACAACAAAUUUUAUCCCUUGCCUAUCCAGAAAUGUCUUUGAAUACACCAGAGGCGGGGAAAUGUAGAGGAUGUCAAGAGCUGGAGGGCCUCUGAGCCAGAUGAUUUGCAGCUUGGAAGCGGACCUUUGGGCAACUCAUCCAUAGGUGUUAAAGCUUAAUCAUCCUGUGGAGUCGGGGAGAGAGAGCCUGAGCCCAUGGCAAUCCUUAAGCAUACAGUCACCUGUCAUGUACCAUCUCAAUAAAUAGCUAUUGCGGAGAUUGCUUAGGGCUACCCUGCACUUAAGAUAAGGUCAGGCUGGACUGCAACUCCUAGGCUCAAGUGAUCCUCCUGCCUCAAUCUCCUGAAUACCUGGAGCUUCAGGAAUGUGCAGCCAGGUCUUACUAUCCCUUAUCCUUUAUAAAAUGACGAGAAUAGGCUGCUAGAAAGAAUGCAAAUGCUUCCUCUUCUCUCUCUGUCUCUCUUUUUUUGAGGGGCAUGUCCCAUCACUCUGCCUAAGGAAAGGUUGUCUUUUACUUUUUAAAGUUCUUGUUAAACAACCUCUUUUCUGAAAAUAAAAUAAAAUAACACCAGUAUUGUCCAUUUCCCUGCUCAGAGGAGUAUUAAUAGUCGUAGUAAUAAUAACAACAAUAAAAUCAACUAGCAUUUGCCCCCGGCCAAUGUGUCAUACUCACUCUGAGUAGGGGCCCUGAUACAUAAGACAGCUAAUUUUGCUUGUGAAUCCAAAGCAAAAUGAAUCCCUUAAAACUCAAAACAAUAUGAAUUAUUUUACCCUAAGCUUGAUCACAGCUGAAAGUGGGAGGCAGUCUCAUUAUUGUCCAUGCUAUAAAAGUGAAGUUGCUUUCUGUCAGGGGGUGGAGUGUGGCAGAGCUCUCUCUUACUUGGUCUACGCAGAAACUUUUUAUAUAUGUAUAUGUAUAUUCAGUUUAGAGAGAGAUUCUUCUUUCAAACAUAAUGUAGUGUCAACACUCCCACAUCUCCCUGAUUACGCGCAGUCUUGUGUUACCUGGUGGACUGAGAGAGGCUCCUCAGAAAACAUUUCUGCCUUACCUAGUGCUUACUAGGGCGCAGGCGCUCUCUGUCCGUGCAAGGACAAGGCUAUGAAGAGAUGCUCUCUGCUAGUUACCAAGAACCGAUUUCUGCAACCGGAAAUUUCUGCAACCCUGACAACUCUUGGGGGCCCUGAGAAGGCCCCUACUCCGCAGCAGGUGCAGAAGCGCCUGCCUCGGUGCCCGGAUGUGAAGCCCCCCGCACGGAAGCUUGGCGGAUCUCUGAGGACAGCGCAGGAAACUGUUCUGCGGACCUUUUGCUGUGAGUAAGCCCUAGUCAACAGUUUCCUCAUGACUUUAAUUAGGACGAAAUUGGAUGCAGCCUCUAUCCCAGACCUUCCCAGCACAUCCCUCCCCCUCCAUAGCAGGGGAAGACCUGAGUGGGGCCCGUAGGCCCCACGUACACCUGGAUCUUCUCCAGCUCCUGCCGGAGUCCUUGGUCUUGGGAGCCGGCAGUUUGCCUGUCCCGCCUGCUUCCGUCUGGGUGAUGUCAUCCUGUGGUCCCCAGCAGCUCUGAGCCAGGCUGAAUGCUAUUAUUAGCACGUCAGAGCUCAGGCCAAGGCGGCUUAUUACUUGCGGUACACUGUCAUGAACAGGCUUAAUUGCUCACGCCCUUUCCGUGGGCUUUCUGGGUGAGCAUUCAUAUUAUUAAAAUCGCCUCCAGCAACAGUUGUCUUGAGGCAGGAACUGAGGGUGAUGUUGGUGGGAGGAGCACGGAGGACCUUUUCUCUUCUCAGACACGGGUAGAAGAGCAAGAGGGUUGUGGAAUGCCUCUUACCAGCUAUCCUAGUAAGGUGUUAGCCCAUGUCUGGGCCGACAGAGCCCUGCCCAGCCCAGUGAGUCUGACUCAUCUGCUCAGUGUGUAGGACAUUGUGCCUGAGGUCACCCUAUGGGUCAGCACCGUGAGCAGAACCACAGGGCAGCUUCAUUCCACGAAACCUUUACUUUAGGGACCUCAUGGAGUUUCACCCCAUCUCUGUCUGGGUGCCUGUCUCUCUUUCCCAGCCUAUGGCUGAGAUUACACGUUCAGUGGAAACUUAACGGAUGCUCUCCGUUUUCUGUGGUUACAUGUAUACGUGAACAGAUAUCUUUCUUUUUGAUCUGUGCAUAAUGAACAGAUAUCUCUUAAUCUGAUCUGUGCAUAACUUUCCCCCAAACCAGUUAUAAUCUCCUGGGCCACUGUUGGGCAUCGGGUCUGCAGGAGACUAUGUUUAAUAGCCAUUAUCUAGUAACCCUUCCAAAAAAAAGUGUGUUGUGUCUGAAAUCGAGAAAGUUGGAAAGUUCACGGGUUUUUAGAAUUUAAACUCUUUGGUGACAUAGGUCCAUGGUGAGCUUCUGCUUAUGCUGGGCUGCCUUUGCCUUCAAGUAGGCUGCUGAGGUGCGGGACAUAUUGGGGGGAACUUACUCCUUUCAAUUGAGAACAGAAGUGGGCGCAACUUCAAAAAGUGGCCUAGAGGGAUGCAUUUUUAAUUGAAUGAGGAUUUCUCCUUCAAAGAACCUUGAGAAAUCUACUUUCCUUAAGCACAUAAAAAAAAAAUAACAUUUUGUCAGGACAGGAGAGGUCUGCAGCUGGCUGAGGCACCCAGCCACUCAGCCAGCCUGUGCCAGCGAAUCUGGGAGCAAGUGGCAAGAGAGUGGAUAAGUGCAGCCACUGAGGUAUCAGAGGUAGUUACUUCUGUUCAUGCAUAAACUAGUGCAUAUGCUGUGUAGCAUGUCUGGGCCAAGCCCUUGAAAGGCAGCCUUUCUGUGCAUCUGGAGCAGUGAUUUUCAACAGGUGUGCCAUCAAAAUUUUAAAAGAUCAUUAAUUUAUUUUUGGAAGAAGUUCAAAGUACAGUAAGUAAUUCUUUUUUUAUUUGGUCAACAUAAUUUAAGUAUUCCAUGGAAGUUUAACUAUAGGUAAGUGUGCUAUGAGAUAAAAAAAGAAGAAAAACGAAAAAAAGGUCAAAACCCCCACUGAUUUGGAGAGAUAAAGAGAAAAGAGAAACACAGGUAGACAAAAGAGUGGAGAUGGGAAGAAAAAGGAGAGAAAAGAGAAAUACAGAGAUGAAGCCCCGGAGGAGAAGGAGAAACCAGGAGAGUUGUGGUCAUUUCACCAAGUUCUGGGGAGGACGGAAAGUACUGGCUUCAUCCCACUGGGAUAAAGAAUGUCGUCUUACCUUCUUCAUCCCAUGAGGCUCUUUCUUUAGGUGCUACCCUCAGGGUCCUUGGAGUGGCUUCCUCCCAGCCUGCUCACCUUUUCACCUCCCAGGAAAUGCUGGUGACAUGCUCAGGACAUGCAUCAUUGCUUUCAUCUGUCAAGUUUUCUGUUCUGCCCUGUCAGUCUAGGGGAACAAGUUACCUUAAAAAAAAAAUUCAUUUUACCAGCAAAAGUUUGUCAUGGUGCUCAAAAAUCUUUAAAAGAUACUGAACCACGUCUUUGCAGGACACAUUUUAUUUUGCUUAUCUCUUACUGACUUCCUUGUGUCCUCCACUUCUCUGAGAACAGAAUCUAGGUUGUGUUAGUAACCUGAGUGCGCCUAAUUGCCAGUGCAGUUCUGGGCAGUCAGGAAAUAAUCCACAAGUGCUGUGGAAAAGAUUAAGCAUAUUGUUGGAAGGCCUUCAUUCUACACAUUGGCUUACAUUUUAACAUAUUUGAAGUAAGGGUGUGCUUUACAGUUGUUGUGUAUCUUUAAAGAUGUUAUUUUCUUUUUGAAAGCUAUUAAUACACUGGUGACAUCUAAGACCAAAUUACUACGAUAAUACUUGUAUAGAGAUUGAGUAAUCAGGGAAAAUUAGAUUGUGUUAUAU